rnacentral:rRNA from 1 species
UACAGGGGGGGCAAGCGUUGUUCGGAAUUACUGGGCGUAAAGGGCUUGUAGGCGGUUUGUCGCGUCUGCUGUGAAAAUCCGGGGCUCAACCCCGGACUUGCAGUGGGUACGGGCAGACUAGAGUGUGGUAGGGGAGACUGGAAUUCCUGGUGUAGCGGUGAAAUGCGCAGAUAUCAGGAGGAACACCGAUGGCGAAGGCAGGUCUCUGGGCCACUACUGACGCUGAGAAGCGAAAGCAUGGGGAGCGAACAGG